rnacentral:snoRNA from 1 species
UUCAUUGUUAUUAUUAUUAUUUUUUGAGAAGGAGUCUCACUGUCACCCAGGCUGGAGUGCA